CUUCCUCCAGCAAAGGGCAAAGCUUUCCUUCGCCUCCUGAGCUCAGUCCCUUCUUCGGGCUCAAGCGACACUUGUUUGGGGACCAACCAGGGAGGGUGGGUCCCAAGAGUAGGGCAGAAGGUAACAGAACUCAAGGCUGGUGGUGACCGGAGACUGGUGGUGAUGGGACGCUGGUGGUUCUGCCCUCCAAGAUGCCCAGUGCCUAAGAGCUGCCUGCCUGCUACCUGCUG